AGGAGUAUGACAUUGCUCACAUUGCUUCCAAUGUUUGCCAGCUUAACCAUUAAUUAAGCUGGCUUUUUUAU
rnacentral:antisense_RNA from 1 species